AUGUUGCUUUACAUAUACUUCAGCACAUGCCUGAAUUAGGCAUUGAACGAGAUCAAAAUGGAGACACAAUACUUCAUGUUUUAGCACGAAAGCCCUUGGCAUUUUCUGACAAAAUUGGACUUGGUAUCUGGCAAAGAUUUCUUUACGCAUGUAAGUUCUCCAUUUCUAUCCAAAUCGAAAUGAAUUAAGAUAUAUAUUUAUAUAUCAUUAGACCAAUGGAACAUCCUGCCUGUUCCCAAAAAAAAAUAAAAAAUUAAUGGAACUUCCUAUAGAUGUCUCUGUUCAUUUACAGAAUAGAUCAAGCAACAUGUCCAGCGGAUCAAGGAUAAAAAAUAACACUAAGGGUAUGUUGUAUACUUGUCCCAGUUGAGACAUUUAUUUUCUCUGUAAUAGCAUUUCUAUAACCAACUAAUCCUAAACAUUUUGUGAAAUUGCAGCUAGCGCGUUCAUCACAAGGGUAGUUCAGCAUCUACUAAAAACAUUAGGUAUGGCACAUAUGACGUGGUCCCAAGUUCUAGAUUAUUAUUCUCUGUACCUGUAAAACUAAAUACCUAAUCUGCAAUUUUUCAACACUAGGAAUCAAAGAAGUUCUGGAGACAAAAUUAAUGCACUUACAAGCACUUGAAUUGGUAAAAUGUUCAUGGAAAGAAGUUCUCUUGUUGAAUGAUUCACAAAUAGGGAACUUACUUAGAAGUCCGUCGCGGCCAUUGUUUGUAGCAGCAGAGUUGGGAAAUUUUAAGUUCAUAGUUGAGCUUAUUCAGUCUUAUCCAGAUCUCAUUUGGAAGGUUGAUGAGGAAAGCCGGAGCAUCUUUCACAUUGCAGUCAUUCACCGCCAAGAAAAGAUCUACAAACUUAUCUACAACAUAGGAGCACACAAGGAUAUAAUUACGUCCUAUAAAAGUAGAAUUAAUGAGAACAUUUUACACUUGGCAGCAAAGUUGGCUCCUACAAAUCGACUUGGUAUUGUUUCAGGUGCAGCACUCCAGAUGCAGCGGGAGUUAUUGUGGUUCAAGGUAAUUUCCACAUCUGGUGAAAUGCUGCUUCCCUAUUACGUAUACUCUCUUUCUAUAUUUCAUAAGAUAUUACUUCUUAUCAUUCCAAAGGAAGUUAAGACAAUUGUUCAAGCCUCAUAUAAGGAGAUGAGAGACUCAAAAGGUCGAACACCUGGAAUGUUGUUCGCUGAAGAACACAAGGAAUUGGUCAAAGAAGGAGAGAAGUGGAUGAAGGAAACUGCAUCAUCUUGCAUGCUUGUUGCUGCACUAAUUACAACAGUAAUGUUUGCAGCAAUCUUUACCGUGCCAGGAGGGAACAACGAUGAUACAGGCACCCCCAUUUUUCUUAAAGAGAAAACAUUCAUUCUUUUCUCUAUAACAGAUGCACUAGCACUGUUUUCUUCAGUAACCUCUAUAUUGAUGUUCUUGUCCAUCCUCACUUCACGCUAUGCCGAAGAAGACUUCCUGAGUACUUUACCAAAAAGGUUAAUCCUUGGCUUCAUCACGCUCUUUGUUGCUAUAGCAGCGAUGCUAGUAGCAUUUAGUUCAAGUUUUUUCAUCGUACUUGGGCAUCAAAUGGCCUGGAUUAUCAUCCCAGUGGCAGUACUUGCUAGUAUUCCCAUAACUUUAUUUGCAUUUCUGCAAUUUCCUCUCUUGGCUGAUAUGAUCAGAUCUACCUAUGGCUCAGGAAUAUUCACUUUUACAAGUAAAGAUACGAUUUAUUGAUUUUUACAAGUUCACAGGUGCAAGAGCUCCAAAAUAUAAUUUUUCAAUCUUUUUUAUGAAAGAGUGCCUUGAAAUUGGAAAGGUUCCAGGUACUUGCAACAAAAGCAGUUCUGUAUCAUUGCAAUUAAGCCCAUGAACUUGCCCUUCCAGACUUCCGCAGUCCAGCCAUUUGGAAGAAGAAAAAAAAAAUCCUCCAAUAGCAGUAAUAAUAAAGCAGAAGUCUUGCCUCAUUUCUAAAUCUUAAUAAAUGGACGGACUUGCUGAGAAUUUUAGGAAAAGCUCCGUAUAUCCCUAUGCAUUUGCACAAAUUACUAGAUAAAAAAAUACCAGCAAUUACAAUGUAAUAUCUUCAAAAUCUGAAGACUACAAACUAACCUUGAAUCUGAUAAGAGAGACCUCCUCGCCGGAGCUACAUUAACCUUGUCGGAAAUUCUUCCAAAUGAACUACUCGGCGAGCUCAAUAACUCACUCUCCGAGCCCGUGGCGGAGGCAGGAUCUCCACGAAGGGGUUCAAAAGGGAAUU
rnacentral:lncRNA from 1 species